rnacentral:lncRNA from 1 species
AAAUUAAAAGUUGAGAAGCUAAUCUGCGGGCCGUGUUUGGAUGCACAAUCACAAAAUUUUAUAGAGUUUAUAUUUUAUAAUUUUGGUCCGAAUAAAAUAGAAAAUUAUGUAACUAUAAAAAAUUUUACGGCUUUAAUUUUAUAUUUGGAUACACAUCGUACAAUUUUAUAAGAUCUCUAAAAGUUAAAAAUUAAAAAUUAAACUUUUAAAAUUUAAAGUUUAAAAUUUAAUAUUAAAUAUAAGUUAAAAAAAUCUAGAAAUUUAAAAAUUUAAAUUUUAACAUUUAAAAUCUAUAAUUUUAAAUUUGAAGUUUAUUUCGUUAGCAUGUUUGAUUAUUUGAAAGUAGCUGAAGUGAGAAAAAAAAAACACUAUUGUAAAAGUGACACUUCAUAAAAGUUAUUUUUUAGUUUGAUUGUUUAGUUGGUUAUAAAGUGAAAAAAUAGGAAAUUAUAGUACUAUCGUUUUGAUUGUUUGAUUACAUAUAAAGAAGUGAAAUUAUAAAUGAAUGACUUAUACUCAUAGUUUAAGUUUAAAUUUAUUUUUAGAACUCAAAAAUAAAUUUUAAACUUUUAAUUAAAAUUUAAAUCUAA